CCGGAGUCCCUGAAAAGGUGCCCCGGGAACAGGACUCCCUUUGCAGGGCCCCGAGGAUUGAUGAGAAUCCCCCAUCCCCAACCACCCAGAGGAUAAGCAGGUGAGUCUGUCUAGAGACAAGGUCAGACCCAGCAGGCUGCUCUACUCUUGGUCUUGGAGAGGGAACCCGGUGUCUUUCCCAGACCGGGCACUCACCUCAUUUUCCUGCCUUGUGUGCUCCUGGCUUUGGUCCCUUCUGCCCGACUUGUCUGUGAGCUCGUCCCAGUCCCCGGUGUGGUGUCAGCGAUGCCUUAUCUUUGUUCUGAGGUCCCUGUGUGUCUCUGGAAUUGGCUGGCAUUCUCCAUUCAGGUCACGCCUUCCCCUGCCUGCAACAGAUCCCCUCUCCCCCACUCCCUCUGGCUUUCCCUCUCUCCUCUCUCUGACUGAGCUUAUGCACACUCAGAGGGACCUGACAGACUGUUUCUUUGGAAGAUCUGCUAGCCAAUCCCCUCCUUGGGAGGGACUGCAGCCCUUGAGAAAAA
rnacentral:lncRNA from 1 species